rnacentral:lncRNA from 1 species
ACCAACCCAGAAACAAGAAGACAAGCCGGGUCCUUGCAAGUAAGGAAGGUGCUAUAAACCCAAGUGCCUGUGAGAUCGACAACCCCCCCCCCCAAAAAAAUGAAAGAGCAACAGUCACUUGUUCUACAACUGCUGGACUUGGAUAUCAACUUGAGCAGAUGAAAGGACACUCUGAGUGUUUUCUAACUGGGCUCAGGACUCGUCUCUUCGUGUGAUUUCAAGGUUGAUAUUUGGAUUAGAAUGACUAGGCUGCCCAGCUGUGCCUGUGUGGCACAUUCUGCUCGGGUAAGGGAACCGAACCAAAGAUCCACCCUUAGUGUGGGCAGGUGGCAUCUAAUCAGCUGGGGGCCUGAAGGAACAAGCCAGCCCCGUCUCUCAGAGAAUCCUGACCAAAUCACAAUAUAAGCACUACCCACAGGUGCUAGAGAGGUGGCUCAGUGGUUAAGAGUACUUGUUGCUCUUUCCGAGGACUCAGGUUUGGUCCUGAGUCCUCGGAAAGCACCUACACGGAUGCUCACAAGCAUCCGUAACUCCAGCUCCAGGGGAUCCCAUGAGACUGGUAUGUGCACACAAUGUACACAUGGCCACAAGGACCACAACACACCCAUGGAAGUCAAAGAACAACUUCGUGGAGUCUGUUUCCUUCUUCCACCUUCACUUGGGUUCCAGGAAUCAAACUCGGGUCACCAUGUUUGUACAGCAAGCCCCUUUACCCUAUGAGCCAUCUCAUCAGCCCCAUUUUUCCCUGUACCUGUUGGCCUUCAGUAGGUCUUUUGAAAAAAAAUGUCUACUGAGAUGCUUAACCCAUUGUUUACUGGGCUAUUCUCUUUCUUGUUUUUUUUUGGGGGGGAGGGGGGCUUCUUAUAUCUUUUAGACAAGACCCACCUGUCAGCCUGCAUGUUUGCAAAUAUUUUCUCCCACUCUGUAGGUUAUCUCUUCGCUCGGUGAGUUGCUUCGUCUACAAUGCAAAGCACUUCAGGCUAAUGAGAUCCCAUUUGUCUGUGGUGGCUUUCCCUGCCUGUACUUUCAGGCUCGUACCCAUAAAACCUCCCUAUUAAGUUUCUUAUUAACAGUCGCAACAUUAGCCCUACAUAUUUAAUAAGAUGAUGAGGACCAAAUUUGGUAAUUUCCUAAAAUGCAUCCACCCUCCCCAACUCUGGGACCUUUGAAGUUAUUCAUUUACAUGAGUCAGGAAAACAAUGCCAUAAAAACCCAAAAUAUAUGUCAGUAAGUAACUUUCCCAGUUAAUAAAGCACAAAGAAAUGCUUCUAUGUUCCUAGCUAGGAACAAACACACACCAAUUGUAUUUUCCAACUCUUAUAAGAAGUAACAUUUUUCCCUAGAAGAGAUGUUACACACUGGUUUUUCAUCCAAAAGGGAGAACAUAUUAACUU